rnacentral:lncRNA from 1 species
UCGUCGGAGCCUUCCAGGAGCGGGCGGGCCAGCGUCCAGCGUUGCUGGUUGCUAGGGUCUUGGGCUGGGUGGCGGGAGCUUCUCUCGGCACUGUAACUUGGAUUCUAAAUUCGGAGGAUAAGGAGAUGGAAGAUGAAAAUGUGGUUGGUUUGGAAAGCAGUUGACUAGUGUUGGAGUCCAGAGCUUCCAGGCAUCGCUUCUGAUACUAGAGAAGGGAAACUGUCAGCUUCCAGUGGGCGGUGCCGCCAGGGCCGCCAAUCUUGAGCGCUUGGGGGCGAAGUUAUCUUUUGACGGUCUCACUUGAUUGGUCCUUAUGAAAAACAUCGCUUAUUAUUUAUUAAAAUGAAACAGUAUCCACUGCUUCUUCGAAGACCCUUACCUCCCCAAAUCCCUAAACUGCCUUCAUAUAAGAAGAAAAU